UGGGGAAUAUUGGACAAUGGACCGAAAGUCUGAUCCAGCAAUUCUGUGUGCACGAUGAAGUUUUUCGGAAUGUAAAGUGCUUUCAGUUGGGAAGAAAGAAAUGACGGUACCAACAGAAGAAGUGACGGCUAAAUACGUGCCAGCAGCCGCGGUAAUACGUAUGUCACGAGCGUUAUCCGGAUUUAUUGGGCGUAAAGCGCGUCUAGGUGGUUAUGUAAGUCUGAUGUGAAAAUGCAGGGCUCAACUCUGUAUUGCGUUGGAAACUGUAUAACUAGAGUACUGGAGAGGUAAGCGGAACUACAAGUGUAGAGGUGAAAUUCGUAGAUAUUUGUAGAAAUGCCGAUGGGGAAGCCAGCUUACUGGACAGAUACUGACGCUAAAGCGCGAAAGCGUGGGUAGCAAACAGGAUUAGAUACCCUGGUAGUCCACGCUGUAAACGAUGAUUACUAGGUGUUGGGGGUCGAACCUCAGCGCCCAAGCAAACGCGAUAAGUAAUCCGCCUGGGGAGUACGUACGCAAGUAUG
rnacentral:rRNA from 1 species